UACGUGAGGGGGCUAGCGUUGUCCGGAUUUAUUGGGCGUAAAGAGCGUGUAGGCGGCCAGGUAGGUCUGCUGUGAAAACUCGAGGCUUAACCCUCGAGAUGUCGGCGGAAACCAUCUGGCUAGAGUCCGGAAGAGGAGAGUGGAAUUCCCGGUGUAGCGGUGAAUGCGCAGAUAUCGAGGAAGAACACCCGUGGCGAAGGCGGCUCUCUGGGACGGUACUGACGCUGAGACGCGAAAGCGUGGGGAGCGAACAGG
rnacentral:rRNA from 1 species